rnacentral:rRNA from 1 species
UACGUAGGGUGCAAGCGUUGUCCGGAAUUAUUGGGCGUAAAGAGCGUGUAGGCGGCCCGAUUAGUCCGCUGUGAAAGUCCAGGGCUCAACCCUGGAAUGCCGGUGGAUACUGUCGGGCUAGAGUCCGGAAGGGGCGAGUGGAAUUCCUGGUGUAGCGGUGAAAUGCGCAGAUAUCAGGAGGAACACCAAUGGCGAAGGCAGCUCUCUGGGACGGUACUGACGCUGAGACGCGAAAGCGUGGGGAGCGAACAGG